rnacentral:lncRNA from 1 species
UAGGCUUAAGGCCUGAUUCAAUACACUGGCACUUAGCCUGCUAGACAUAAAGUCUGAAAUGUUUCACCGACGUCAAGCCUGCUAGACUUAAAGUCUGAAAUGUUUUACCGGCGUCAAGCCUGCUAGACUUAAAGUCUGAAAUGUUUCACCGGCGACAAGCCUGCUAGACUUAAAGUCUGAAACAUAUCACUGGUAUCAAGCCUGCUAGGCACCGAGCCUGAACACUCAAUUUAUAUAAAUACAAAUCACUUUCAAAAUGUAUAUGUAUAUAAGAUUCCAUGUAUAAAAAUUUAGCUCAAUAUAUAUAAAUUAUGCCUUUAAACCACAUAGGUAUAUAAAGUUCAGAUAUUGAAUCCAGCUCAAUAACUUAAUUAUACAUAUGAUCAUAUACAGAUAUAUAACUUAAUACAUUAAGGGCUACUAUUAAUAUCAUGCAUUCGAACAUCUUAUAGUAAUCCAAGCUAACAAUUUUGUACCUUCAACUCCAUUCAAAAGCUUCACAUGAAUAUAAUUACAUAAUUGAAUCUCACAUAAACUUAUAUAAUUAUCAUACCUAAAUUCAAUACAUAAACAUGUACAUAUAUAAGUUUGUAUAUAUUCGAGUCUCAUACAUACUUUAUGUAAUAGUCAUACCUAAAUUUAACACAAAACAUAUUCAAUUAUAUUUGUAUUUCCGAACUUCAUAUAAACUUAUAUAAAAAUUAUACCCAAACUCAAUACAAAAACAUAUACAUGUAAAUAUAUAUUUAUGUGCUCAUUCAAUUCUAUCAUAUACAUAUAAAUUUCAACUCACAUGUACAUACCAUUUCAAAACUACUUAUGCAAAUAUAACAUAUAUAUUUUUAAUCAAUCCAAUAGUUUGUACAUAUAUGUACUUACAUAUAUAUACAUUCGAACCUUAUAUUUAUAUAUAUAUACUAUACAUACCUUUCGAUUAAUAACCAAGAAUUUAUACAUAAGCCAUAUUCAUUCUUCAACUAAAUUCAAGAGCUUACAUAUAUGUGUAUACAUAUAUGUAUAUUCGAACAUUAAUCAUAUAUUUAUAUAUAUACAUAUCAUUUUUACUUUGACUAAAUUCAAGCUAUAUACUUUCAAUUUAAGCUCAUCCAAAUACAAUAUAUAUAUAUGUAUAUUAAUUAAUAACAUUAAAUUGCUAGUUGACUUACCUCGGACGGUGAAAAAUCGAAAUCGGAAGAUUAUUCGACGAUUUUAUCUUUCCCCCGAUCGAACUCCGAUUUCUUUGGUUCUUGAUCUAAAUAUAUCUAGAAUGAGCUAAUUUAAAUAUUAAAACAUUCAAUUUAAUCCAAAAACACAUAAAUAGGAAAAUUACCAUUUUGCCCCUAAUAUUUUACACUUUUUGCAAUUUAAUCCCAAUUGCAUAAAACACAAUUUACACAAAAUCUCACAACAACAUAGCUAGGCCGAAUCUUCCUUGUAUUCAUACAAGUCCAUGCAUUUCAUUUAUUUUUCAUUUUAGUCCCUCAAAAAUUUAUUUUUUUAAUUUAGCCCUAAUUACUCAAAUUUACCAAAAAUUCAAAGACAAAACAUGUUAAUCUAACACAUAUAUUUCAUAAUCCAUCAUCAAACAUCAUAGAACACAAUUAUUCAUUAAUGGCAUAACUCAAAAUAUUCAUCAAAAUCAAAAAUUCUAGCAUGGGUCAGAUGGUAUUCGAAGCAACGAUCUCAAAAAUAUAAAAAUUAUCAAAAACCGAGCUAGAACUCACCUUGAAUCAAGCUCAACAAUGGCCGAAUACCCUAGCUUUGUUUCUUUGUUUUGUUUUUGUUCUGUUUCGUGAUGAAGAUGAAGGGAAAAA